UACGUAGGGUGCAAGCGUUGUCCGGAAUUAUUGGGCGUAAAGAGCUCGUAGGUGGCCUGUCGCGUCGGCUGUGAAAACUCGGGGCUCAACUCCGAGCUUGCAGUCGAUACGGGCAGGCUAGAGUUCGGCAGGGGAGACUGGAAUUCCUGGUGUAGCGGUGAAAUGCGCAGAUAUCAGGAGGAACACCCGUGGCGAAGGCGGCUCUCUGGAACGCAACUGACGCUGAGACGCGAAAGCGUGGGAGCAAACAGG
rnacentral:rRNA from 1 species